rnacentral:rRNA from 1 species
AUUGAACGCUGGCGGCAGGCUUAACACAUGCAAGUCGAGCGGGGGAAGGUAGCUUGCUACCGGACCUAGCGGCGGACGGGUGAGUAAUGCUUAGGAAUCUGCCUAUUAGUGGGGGACAACAUCUCGAAAGGGAUGCUAAUACCGCAUACGUCCUACGGGAGAAAGCAGGGGAUCUUCGGACCUUGCGCUAAUAGAUGAGCCUAAGUCGGAUUAGCUGGUUGGUGGGGUAAAGGCCUACAAAGGCGACGAUCUGUAGCGGGUCUGAGAGGAUGAUCCGCCACACUGGGACUGAGACACGGCCCAGACUCCUACGGGAGGCAGCAGUGGGGAAUAUUGGACAAUGGGGGGAACCCUGAUCCAGCCAUGCCGCGUGUGUGAAGAAGGCCUUAUGGUUGUAAAGCACUUUAAGCGAGGAGGAGGCUACUUUAGUUAAUACCUAGAGAUAGUGGACGUUACUCGCAGAAUAAGCACCGGCUAACUCUGUGCCAGCCGCCGCCGUAA